GUCCACGCCGUAAACUAUCAAUACUCGUUCUCAGCACUUCGGUGUUGGGGACCAAGCGAAAGUGAUAAGUAUUGCACCUGGGGAGUACGAUCGCAAGGUUGAAACUCAAAGGAAUUGACGGGGGCCCGCACAAGCGGUGGAGCAUGUGGUUUAAUUCGAUGAUACGCGAGGAACCUUACCAGGGCUUAAAUGUAGAGGGAAUGUCGUGGAAACAUGUCAGCCUUCGGGCCGUCUACAAGGUGCUGCAUGGCUGUCGU
rnacentral:rRNA from 1 species